rfam:Macaca mulatta chromosome 1, whole genome shotgun sequence.
AUCACUCCUCAGCCUUUUGGCUAAGAUCAAGUGCAGUAUUUGUUUUUAUCAGUUUAAAGCACAUAACUGGAAAAUCUCCAACAUCAGAAAUUAGGGGCUAAUGAUACAUAUGCAAAUAGAAAAAUGGAUACAAAUUAAAUGCAAAGCUAAAUGAUUCUUU